rnacentral:tRNA from 1 species
GGGGUUGUGGCUCAGUGGUGGAGCACUUGCCUCGCACUGGGUUCGAUCCUCAGCACCACAUAAAAAUAAAAAAAUAAAAAUAUUUUUAAAAAUUAGCAUGUGUGAGGCACUGGGUUUGAUUCUCAGCACCACA